rnacentral:rRNA from 1 species
UACGUAGGGUGCGAGCGUUAAUCGGAAUUACUGGGCGUAAAGAGCGCGCAGGCGGCUGGUCAAGUCCGAUGUGAAAGCUCCCGGCUUAACUGGGAAAUUGCAUCGGAAACUGAUCGGCUGGAAGGUGGGAGAGGGUAGCGGAAUUCCCGGUGUAGUGGUGAAAUGCGUAGAGAUCGGGAGGAAUGCCAGUGGCGAAAGCGGCUCUCUGGUCCUAAACUGACGCUGAGGGGCGAAAGCGUGGGGAGCGAACGGG